CAGUGAUGUGGAGCGAAACUCAAAAAAAUAAGUCUCAGUUCGGAUUGAAGGCUGAAAUUCGCCUUCAUGAAGCCGGAAUUGCUAGUAAUGGCAGGUCAGCAUACUGCCGUGAAUACGUUCCCGGGCCUUGUACACACCGCCCGUCACACCAUGAGAGUUGGGAAUACCCGAAGCCUGUGAGCUAACUUUUAGAGGCAGCAGUCGAAGGUAGAAUCAAUGAUUGGGGUGAAGUCGUAACAAGGUAAC
rnacentral:rRNA from 1 species